rnacentral:lncRNA from 1 species
AUAAGCGUAGUUGAUCAAGCUAUAUUCGUCCCAAAUUUGAUUACAUAUCUUGAGAACUAAUCGUAGUGUCCAACUUGUCUUAAUACUUUUGUAUAGUUCUCAUCAUGAAAAUAUGUCGUUGUAUGCAUGUAUUUUGGAUUUUCAUGACCUAAAAUAAUCUAUUUAAAUAAAAUAAGGAUUUUAGGUAUGAAAACUUUCGUCAGAGACUUUGAGUCCCUAAGCAUUUAUAGUUUGUAUAUCUUAUGAGGAUCGAUAUACUUAUUUCACUAUAAACAUUGCUCUGAUACCAAUCUGUCACACCCCCAAACCGGAACGGCGGAAACGUUCGGGGGCGGAUGACUUCAUGUGGUAACGUAACAAAUGAAUACAUAGUAAAGAAAGCAAUACAACCAUCAUACAUAUAAUUGAAAGUUUACAUUGUUUAAAAGAGUACAUGUUCAAAACCAAUUACAAUAUGAUGUCAAAAUAUGAAAUUAAACUAGUGCCGCAGCGUUUCUUCUUCAAAAGCUGUUUAGUACUUGUAAUUACUGAGUCCCUGGGACAUACAAGUAGUUUCGAAAGAAUAUAUCAGCAUUUAAGCUGGUGAGUUUCAUAAGCAUUUAAUGAUAGUAUUUGUAUGAAACUGAAAUGGUUCGUUUUUGUUAGUAAGUCUCUAGAAAAUCCCAUCUUUCCUACUGGUAUAAAUGUAGCCUUAAAUCAAGACCAAUAUAUGUUAAAAAGUUGAUGUUUUUCCAUCUAUGAGUAGUGGUUAGAAGUUCCAAACUUAUAUCACAAUUGGGUUUUUCAUGCAUAAAAUAAAUGAACUUAUGUAAGUAUAAAACCUCCAUUAUAUUUGAAAACCCCCGUAAAUCAAUGUGUUUUUAAUACUUUAUGUGAGUUUUAUAACCAUGCUAUUGACAAGGAAUGCCUAUACACAAUGUUCUUCAGGCGUUGGAAUGUUCUGACGUUUGUCACUCCAAAUGGUGUACUGUAGCUAACAGUCAGGGCGUGGGGUUGUCAAGCCCGUGUAGAUCUAUACACAAACACCAUGCUCCCCCUCCAAGGGAUUCUGGUAUAUAAUACAGGACUUGAAAUGUGUACUCGUGCGUACGUGAAGUUCAAUGUCUCACAAAACUUAGUAUAGAACAGAUUUACGUGUGAAAAUGUUCAUUUGUUAUUGUAUAUGAAAGUAGCUUCUUGAAAUAGUAUUUCCAUGUAUGUAAAAGUUCGUAGUAUUCUCGUAAAACUAUACCUAUUAUAGUUUCCUAAAAGUGUGUUCUGUUUGUAUAAUAAACCCUUAAUGAAAAUGCUCACAUGUUAUGAAAAAUAUAGUUUUUGUAGUGCCAAAACCGACACACAUAAAUAUAGUAUAAGCAGAGUGCCUGAUUUAUAUAAAUACCUAAAUCAUUUCUCAUUUCAAAAGAUAAAAUGUUGUCGUGGUAUAAUUUGCAUAUGAAAGUUUCCUUAUAAUAGUUAUAAAUCACAUAUGAUUCCGUUGAUAAAACGCGUAUAGUGAAAGUUUAUAUAACACACAAUUAUAAUUGAGUGUUUUACUUGUAUUCCCCCCUUUAAAAGCAUAUAAAAGUACUCAUAAAACAUUUAAAAGUGUGAAUUAUAGGGGUAUGAACUCACUUGAAAGAUUGGAGGAGGCGGGAUGAAAACCGGACAUAAUUUCGACUCGAGAAAGCGGAUUUUCUCAGGAUUCUCGGGAAUCACGGGAGCACAAACAACCUACGGGACUUGAGCAAAGUGAUCGAGGCUUUGGGGUAGCACGGUCACGGAAAACGAGGCAAGAACGCAAGAGAAAUGAGAGAAAUGGUGCCCUUUCUUCGAAACCCUGGCAUCCCUUUUAUAGGGGCUGGGAACCGCCUCGGUACGCUGGGCGUACGUGUGCAUCACGCAUGACCGAAUCUACGACUGCCUCGGAGCUCGGAUGGGAUGGGGCAUAUCCUCGCAUAGGGCGCUACCUGGUCGAUCCGAGGCCAAGGCCUCAAGUACGCUGGGCGUAACCGUGUACGUUGGGCGUACUUGCGUGACUCAGCCUUCGUAUAAUACCGAAGAUUUCAAUAAAAAAAUAUUUAUAUGUAUUAUUUAAUAAACUUCAAAAAUUCAUAUCUUCUUCAUACGAACUCCGUUUUCGACGUUCUUUAUAUCCACGCGUAGGUGAGACCAUACUCUACAACUUUCGUUUAGAUCCCGUCGGCAAAUUUUGAAAUUAUUUUUAUUAUUUAUUUUUAAAAGGUCGUGGUAAGAAAAUUUCUUUAGAAAUUGAUAACUUCUUUAUAUGACGUCAGUUUGUGCCAGACUUUUUACCGCUGAAAUACCAUUGUCGAGACCUUCGAUUCUCGUUUUGGUCAUUCCGGCCAAAAGUCGCUCGAACUCCGAUUUGAGUUUUUAGCCGUCUGUCGUUAAGCCGAACAUGGAAAAUUUCUAACUUUCUUAUAUGAAGUCGGAUUUGGGCGUUCUUUUUAUAUACGAUCACGGUUUAAUGACAUCUACCAUAAUAGGUAAUUUAAUUAGUGAUUUUUGGAUAUUUUAUUUUCGAAGUUAAUUUUAUUAUAACGAACGUGCUUACAAUACUUGACUUUUUAGGUCGUUUACAUAUAGUUAAAAUAUCGGGUUGUCAAAUCAUCCCCCUGUUAGAGGGAAUUUCGUCCCGAAAUUUAAAGUAAGAAACAUACAAGUGAAUCAGAGAGAAAGAUGCGGGUACUUUUGUUUCAUCUGAUCUUCGCGUUCCCAUGUCAAUUCAGGUCCUCGCUUCGCGAUCCAACGGACUUUCACGAUGGGUAUGCGACUUUGUUUCAUUUGUUUGACCUCUCGGUCCAUGAUUUCUACUGGUUCUUCCACGAAGUUGAGGCUCUCGUCGAUCUCGAUCUCGUCGUGUGGGAUAACAAGAGUCUAAUCGGACAUACAAUUUUUCAAAUUCGAUACGUGGAAGGUUGGGUGUAUGUUACUAAGUUCCCGUGGUAGAUUAAAUUUGUAAGCUACAUGGCCGAUUAUGGCGAGCAUCUGUAAAGGCCCUAUGUACCUUGGAUUUAGCUUUCCAUGCUUUCCAAAGCGUAUCGUGCCCUUCCAGGGUGAGACUUUCAAAAGGACUCGGNAAAGGUUUUCUCCGUUGGUCAGCGUAGCUUUUCUGUCGCUCUCUAGAUGCUUUCAACCGUUCACGAAUCUGAACGAUCUUCUUUGUCGUUUCUCGUAUGAUUUACGGACCAGUGAGAGUGUUUUCACUAUCUCGUCCUUUAGCUAGUUGUGUGUCGCCCACUUCGGUCCAGCACAGAGGGGAUCUGCACUUGCGGCCAUAGAGGGCUUCAAAUGGAGCAGCCUUUAUACUCGUAUGAUAACUAUUGUUGUAUGAAAAUUCGACGAGAGGUAAAUGGAUAUCCCAUGACUUUCCAAAGUCAAUCACACAGGCUCUCAGCAUAUCUUCCAAAGUUCAUAUCGUUCUCUCACUUUGCUCGUAUGUUUGUGGAUGGUAGGUUGUACUCAUGUCUAGUCUAGUCCCUACGGAACUUUGUAGUGACUGCCAUAACCUUGAUGUAAAUCUACUAUCUCUAUCAGAGAUAAUGGACAUCGGAACCCCAUGCAAUCGUACUAUUUCCCUUAUGUAAGUUCUUGUAAGCCUUUCCAUCUUGUCAGUCUCCUUGAUCGGUAGAAAAUGCGUGGAUUUGGUCAAUCGGUCGACGAUGAACCAUAUGGUAUCAAGUCCACCCGUUGUCUUGGGCAACUUGGUUAUGAAAUCCAUAGUAAAUCGUUCCCAUUUCCAUUCCGGUAUCUUUGGUUGUUGUAGUAAUCCUGAAGGUUUCUGGUAGUCGACCUUAACCUUAGCGCAAGUAAGACAUUUACUUACAAAGGUAGCAAUCUCUGCUUUCAUGUUAGGCCACCAGUACAGUUUCUUAAGAUCCAAAUACAUUUUAUCUGAACCUGGGUGAACGGAAUAACUUGUGUUGUACGCUUCAGUCAUGACCACAUCCCUGAAACCACCAUGUCUUGGUGUGCAGAUACGGUCCAUGAGAUAAUAGGCUCCGCCACCUUUGAUUUCUAGAUUCUUUUCCAUUCCUCUCAGGGAUUCACCCGUCACAUGCUCGGGUUGUAAAGCUUCCAGUUGAGCCUCCUUAAUUUGUGUGGAUAAGUGGUAAUGGAUGGUCAUAUUCAGAGAUUUGACUCUCCGACCAGUGUAUUCUUUUCGACUGAGGGCGUCAGCUACUACAUUGCCUUGCCAGGAUGAUAACGAAUCUCACAUUCAUAAUCAUUGAGUAACUCGACCCAUCGUCGUUGUCGCAUGUUGAGCUCCUUCUGAUAGAAAAUGUGUUGAAGGAUCUUGUGGUCGAUGUAAAUAGUACUCUUCGUUCCGUACAGGUAGUGUCUCUAGAUCUUUAAAGCAAAUACCACUGCUCCUAACUCAAGAUCGUGUGUUGUAUAGUUUACUUCGUGUGUCUUAAGCUGACAGGAGGCAUAAGCAAUAACCUUCCCUCGUUGCAUAAGAACACAACCAAGCCCUUGAUUCGAUGCAUCGCAAUACACUACAAAAUCUUUUAUCUCUUCGGGGAGGGAUAGUAUUGGUGCGGUGCAUAAGGCUUGUUUCAGUGUUUGGAACGCCUUCUCUUGUUUUGCUUUCCAGUCAAAGACCACGCCUUUUUGGGUUAAUGUAGUAAGAGGUUUCGCGAUGCUAGGGAAGUUCUUUAUGAAUCUACGAUAAUAGCCAGCUAGACCUAGAAAUUGACGAAUCUCUGUAGGUGUCUUUGGUGCCGACCAGUUCUUAAUGGCCUUAAUUUUGGAGGGGUCCACAUGUAUCCCUUUUUCACUAACAAUGUGGCCCAAAAAUUCGACUCUUCGAAUCCAAAAUUCACAUUUAGAGAACUUCGCAUAGAGCUUCUCUGAUCGUAGUGUUUCUAAGACUCUUUGUAGGUGCUGACUAUGUUCUUCCUUACUUCGGGAGUAGAUAAGUAUAUCAUCGAUGAAUACAAUGAAGAACUCGUCCAUGUAAGGAUGGCACACUCUAUUCAUUAGGUCCAUGAAUACUACUGGUGCGUUGGUUAAUCCGAACGGCAUCACUACAAGUUCGUAGUGUCCAUAACGGGUUCAGAAGGCUGUCUUGGGAACAUCUUCCCCCAGCACUCGUAAUUGGUGAUAUUCAAAUCGUAGAUCUAUCUUCGAGAAGUAGCUCGCUCCUUGAAGUUGAUCAAAUAGGUCGUCAAUGCGGGGUAGAGGGUAACGAUUUUUUACAGUGAGUUUGUUUAGCUCUCGGUAGUCGAUGCACAUCCGGAACGAUCCAUCUUUCUUCUUCACAAACAAGAUCGGUGCUCCCCAAGGUGAGAAACUUGGUCUAAUGAAUCCUUUUUGGUGAAGUUCGUUAAGCUGACUAGAAAGUUCUUGCAUCUCUGCUGGUGCCAGACGAUAAGGCGAUUUUGCUACAGGGGUAGCCCCUGGAAUUAAAUCGAUUCUGAACUUGACUUGGCGUUGUGGUGGUAAUCCCGGUAGUUCUUCUGUUAAGAUAUCGGGAAAUUCAUGUACCUCUGGAAUGCUGUUAAUAUCCUUUACUUCCCGACUCAUAUCGAUGAUGUGUUCAAGAAAUGCCUGAUAAUCCUUCCGCAAACACUUUCGAGCUUGGAUGCACGAAAUGAUGUGAAGGUUUGUACUUGAUUUGUCGCCAUAAAUCCCUAAUGUUUCAAUGUUAGGGAGAUUUACACGAACGGCUUUUUCAAAGCACAUGAUGUCGGCGCGAAGAGGACUUAACCAAUCCACGCCAACUAUAACGUCGAAACUUUUUAUUUGGACUCGCAUGACGUUGAUUGGGAAAGAGUGACCGUCUAAAGUUAAUGUACAACCCAUGUAUAUGCAAUUAGUGUUUUCCGUUUUUCCAUUUGCCAUUUCUAUAGUGAAUGAUUCUUCUAACAUGCUAGGUUUACAUUUAAUUAAGUGAAUAAAGUUUUGGCUCACAAAGCUUCUCUCUGCUCCGCUAUCGAAUAGGAUGCAUGCAUAUGAAUUAUCGAGAAGAAACGUACCAACAACUACUGUAGGAUCAGCUACGGCUUCCUCGUGACCAAUAGCUAAUACUCGUCCCACUCCACCGGUAUUUGCUGCCUUUGGGCAUUUUCUUUUGUGGUGGCCCACCUCGCCACAACCGUAGCAUGCCUGGCCUACACCAGCAUUGCGAACUUGAGUGAUCGGCUUUAUGGGGGCCUUGAAGAAACGGACUGUGUGUCCCUUUCUGUUGCAGUUGGAGCACUGCAUUUCCCGACAAGGUCCGUGGUGGUGAUAAUUGCACUUGGUACACUUUGGGAGGUUGCCCACAUAAGGCUUUGUUGGGUAGAGAUUUGUAGGAACAGUAAUAGGUACCGUCGCAGCGUUUACGGCAACUAGUUGUUGUUUCUUCGAGGAUUCUUGGGAAGACCCACCCUUCCCCUUAUUCCACCCUCUCUUCUUGUUGUCGUUGUUAUUGUUGUUUCCCUUUUGUGGUUCUGGUGCAGAAGUUGUUGAGUUUUGAUGAUUUCCGUGAUCAAUAAGCGAUUGUGCCAGCUCCUUGGCACUUUUAAAUGUGUCAGGUUUUGAAGCUAACACGCUUGACUGAAUUUGGGGCGACAGUCCGCAAAUGUAUCUCUCUAUUUUCUUGCUCUCGGGAGCAAUCAUAUCUGGGCAAAGGAUUUCCAGAUCGCAGAAUCUGUUGGUAUAAGUUGCUAUGUCGGUACCAAUCAUCCCCAGAGUCCAGAGUUCGUGCUCGAGUUUUUGAAUAUCUCCUCGUGGACAGUACUCCCUUAUCAGCAUGAUUUUCAAGCUCUCCCAGCUUAUUGAGUUUGCCACUGUCAGGGUAAGUACCUUAACGUGGCCAUUCCACCAAGUUAAAGUCGUAUCAAUAAGUGUGUAGGUUGCAAACUUGACUUUGUUGUGCUCGGGGCAGGAGCAGAUUUCAAAUACUGAUUAUGUCCUUUCAAUCCACUGCCUUAAUAUCAUCACACCACCCGUUCCAUUAAACAUCCGGGGCUUAGCAUUCGUAAGUCUUUAUAGGUGCACUCCCGGGGUUGCCCAUGACUAUCGCCAUGGUUGGAGGGAUGUAUGUUAAUUCUUGACCCAGUAGUAACAAGGGUAUUGAUCUGUGACAUGACAGCUGCUACAGCUGCGGUAACUGCUGCCUGGAACAUGACAGCAUCAAAUUGAGGAGGUGGAGGUGGUGGUAUCGGUGCUUCCGCACCGUUGUUUCGUCUCGGAUUUCUACGCGCAGGCAUCCUUCAACUAAAGAUUGAAAAGACAAGGGUAAGAAGUCCAUAGUAUAGAAAAUGUAUGUCUCAUGAACUAAAUUGCUAUAGUUCAACAACAGAUGAUAGUAUGAGUCUCAAAGAUAGAAGAGCGAAGGUUAUUCGUAAAUCCGAAUAUGUGAACAAGCAUAUGGUUUUUCCAUAAUAUUUUAAAGAUUGAACGAGAUACUCAACGUAGUAGUAAUAGCGUGCGAAUUAUAUUAAUAUAAUAGAUGAUACAACGAUCAUGAAAAUUUGACCCUUAAAAGGGUCUCCGAUGACAAGAAUUUUAAGGAAGUAAAAACUCUUAGCCAAGGUCCUAUCUUAUAACAAAAUUUUGAGGUUUUCGCAAGUAUUACUUGCGACGUGUGUUGCGCUUGGAGCUUGACUUCGCAUCCGAUUGCUUUGACUCCAUAAGACGCCUAUCGAAGGCGGCUUGUUGUUCCCUCAACUUUGCGAGGGCUGCAUUCAUUUGAGUUUGGAAUGCAUCGGCGCAGAGGUGGGUGUCAUUCUGCAACAUAUCCAGACGACGGAUAUCGGCCGUGUGGACUUGUACUUCCACGUUGACUUCGCGGAUUUGAUUUUCUUGGACCCCCGAUUGGUAUGACCGGUUGGCUAGUUUACCUACCAUGACUGAAAGUGCUCGGUAGGUUGAACCUCCGUCCCUGAUGUUGUAGAACUCUCGAAACAUACCGUAGGGAGAGCGUAUCCCUUGUUGUUGGCUCCAGUGGACGAGGUGACUUCCCCAAACGGGAGUCGACCCUUGGAACUUCCUCCUAAUGGCUGGAGGGUUGACAACUUCUGGUUCCGAGUCUGUACCAGAGUCGUCCCCUUCAUCCAACUUGAUAGGUUCUUCAUCCUCUCCCGGAUCCUCCUCUACCCAUCCUUCGUUGCCUUGGUUCGGGUAGUGGGGGUCCCCUUGCAGGUGAAAUCCAGCCAUUUGACUAUACGAGAAUAGGGUUAUAAGACUUGAACAAAAUUUGAGAACAUGUAAUACUAAUUAAUCUAUUGUAUGCACCAAAUACUCCUAUAGUAUUUAAAUUGUACGCUUGAUACUAGUGUCCAUUUUUGGUAAGUUUUGACUUGUUGCUCACUACGAUCAUUCCUCGAUAUACAUUAGUCUAAUUUCGGAUAAGCAUAGUUGAUCAAGCUAUGUUCGUCGCAAAUUUGAUUACAUAUCUCGAGAACUAAUCGUAGUGUCCAACUUGACUUAAUAAUUUUGUAUAGUUCUCAUCAUGAAAAUAUGUCGUUGUAUGCAUGUAUUUUGGAUUUUCAUGACCUAAAAUAAUCUAUUUAAAUGAAAUAAGGAUUUUAGGUAUGAAAACUUUUGUCAGAGACUUUGAGUCCCUAAGCAUUUAUAGUUUGUAUAUCUUGUGAGGAACGAUAUACUUAGUUCACUAUAAAC